AGAGUUUGAUCCUGGCUCAGGAUGAACGCUAGCGGCAGGCUUAACACAUGCAAGUCGAGGGGCAGCAUAAUGGAUAGCAAUAUCUAUGGUGGCGACCGGCGCACGGGUGCGUAACGCGUAUGCAACCUACCUUUAACAGGGGGAUAACACUGAGAAAUUGGUACUAAUACCCCAUAAUAUCAUAGAAGGCAUCUUUUAUGGUUGAAAAUUCCGAUGGUUAGAGAUGGGCAUGCGUUGUAUUAGCUAGUUGGUGGGGUAACGGCUCACCAAGGCGACGAUACAUAGGGGGACUGAGAGGUUAACCCCCCACACUGGUACUGAGACACGGACCAGACUCCUACGGGAGGCAGCAGUGAGGAAUAUUGGUCAAUGGACGCAAGUCUGAACCAGCCAUGCCGCGUGCAGGAAGACGGCUCUAUGAGUUGUAAACUGCUUUUGUACGAGGGUAAACGCACCUACGUGUAGGUGACUGAAAGUAUCGUACGAAUAAGGAUCGGCUAACUCCGUGCCAGCAGCCGCGGUAAUACGGAGGAUUCAAGCGUUAUCCGGAUUUAUUGGGUUUAAAGGGUGCGUAGGCGGUUUGAUAAGUUAGAGGUGAAAUCCCGGGGCUUAACUCCGGAACUGCCUCUAAUACUGUUAGACUAGAGAGUAGUUGCGGUAGGCGGAAUGUAUGGUGUAGCGGUGAAAUGCUUAGAGAUCAUACAGAACACCGAUUGCGAAGGCAGCUUACCAAACUAUAUCUGACGUUGAGGCACGAAAGCGUGGGGAGCAAACAGGAUUAGAUACCCUGGUAGUCCACGCAGUAAACGAUGAUAACUCGUUGUCGGCGAUACACAGUCGGUGACUAAGCGAAAGCGAUAAGUUAUCCACCUGGGGAGUACGUUCGCAAGAAUGAAACUCAAAGGAAUUGACGGGGGCCCGCACAAGCGGAGGAACAUGUG
rnacentral:rRNA from 1 species